rnacentral:rRNA from 1 species
UACGAAGGGGGCUAGCGUUGCUCGGAAUCACUGGGCGUAAAGCGCACGUAGGCGGGUCUUUAAGUCAGGGGUGAAAUCCUGGAGCUCAACUCCAGAACUGCCUUUGAUACUGAGGAUCUCGAGUCCGGGAGAGGUGAGUGGAACUCCGAGUGUAGAGGUGAAAUUCGUAGAUAUUCGGAGGAACACCAGUGGCGAAGGCGGCUCACUGGCUCGGUACUGACGCUGAGGUGCGAAAGCGUGGGGAGCAAACGGG